rnacentral:lncRNA from 1 species
CUCUGGGGCUAUGCAUUUUGGCCGGCCUAAUUGUGUCGGGCGGCUGCCAGUCCCCGUACUUUCGUAUAAGUGGAAACAGCGACGGCUGUGUGCGCGCUGUACUGCUGUGCAAGGUGCAAACGCAAAGUGCUGGGACGACGCGACCAUAGUAAACGCCCUACGAUGAAUCGGAUACACGCGAGAGAUGUGCUUCGUGAGACGCUGUGCGCACACAAGUUCUCGCUACCAAAAGCCGACUCGUUCAGGACGCAUUGAAGCGGACACAGCCUGCAGUGAAAAACAACACGACGGCGGGAUGACGGAUUUCUUGCGAGUCAGCAACGAUAUAUGCAGACGUGGCAAAGCAAAGGAAAAGUGGGCUCUGGGACGAUGUGAUCAAGGAAAGCCCUCUACGAUGGAUCGCAUGCACGCGAAACUGUAGAUGCUUCAAGCAACGUUAGUGCGCGCGCCUUUAUCGACCAUGCCCUCCUCUGCCGAAAGUUGCGUUGAUCUGUUUGCAACGACAAUUCCUAUCUUUUUGAGGCUGCUCCAUAGACACACCACUGCGCACAUGACGAACCAACUUCUGUGCUGAUCUGCGCAGAACAUGUUCUUCGUAACCCGCACUAGCUAAUCUAUCUACUUGUUUAUUGAAACUGUCAUUAAUUUGGUGGGGACAAGAUUACCUACUACACGGAGGCAUAGCCUACUCAUGCCUCCGUGCUGCCUUGGCAAAAUCUUGUCCCCACCAAAUUAAUGACAGUUUCAAUAAACAAGUAGAUAGAUUAGCUAGUGCGGGUUACGAAGAACAUGUUCUGCGCAGAUCAGCACAGAAGUUGGUUCGUCAUGUGCGCAGUGGUGUGUCUAUGGAGCAGCCUCAAAAAGAUAGGAAUUCUGAAGAAAAGAAAAAGAAAUGUGUCUCAAUACCCUAUGCACACAGUAUAUCGCAUAAUCUGAAAAAUGUAGGCAGCCGAUAUGGAAUACAUGUUGUUUUUUCUGCUCCUAACAGACUAGGAAAAAUCUGCGCGAGGCUGGAUAGGAGGCGAUCAACAAAAAAGGAUAGUUUUCGGUGCUCUGUCAAGCACGUUGUUUCGUUUGUUGAGUGCAGGACUGCAGUAGUAUACUGUUUGCUCAUGUCAUGCGGGAAGAUGUACAUCGGCCAAACUGGCCGGUGCAUAAAUACAAGCUUGACGGAGCACAAGAGAGCAUUAGCUAAUAAUGCUUACUCACACAUAAGGCAGCAUUGUUCGGAGUGUGACUGCUCCCCGCUGUUCUCUGAGACUGAAAUACUUUCCAGUCACAGAGAUCAGGUGACCAGGGAAGUGAUCGAGGCCUUCCACAUCGCAAAAAG